UACGUAGGUGGCGAGCGUUGUCCGGAUUUACUGGGCGUUAAGAGCGUGUAGGCGGCCAAACAGGUCCGUUGUGAAAACUGGAGGCUUAACCUCCAGACGUCGACGGAAACCGUGUGGCUAGAGUCCGGAAGAGGAGAGUGGAAUUCCUGGUGUAGCGGUGAAAUGCGCAGAUAUCAGGAAGAACACCAAUGGCGAAGGAAGCUCUCUGGGACGGUACUGACGCUGAGACGCGAAAGCGUGGGGAGCGAAUGGG
rnacentral:rRNA from 1 species